UGACAUUCUUGAACUGACUCAAAGAGGGAAGCCGGAAGUUUUCCAGGUAGAGGCGGGAAGCAAAUUUAAUCGCCAUAUAAUGAGUACUCCAGGUUCAGACCCUACCCAAACUGGUACCCCAACUGCCAAGCAUGCAGGGAAGAGCGCUCGAUGAGUCCACACCAGGUGAAGGAGCACCGUUCCUCCAAGGAGCAGCACUGGAACCUGAAUCUGGAAGCAGUUGUGUAGAUGGUCCUAAUUCAUGGUGUGCACAGCUCACUGAGUAAUCUCAGGAACAUCCAGCAAGAAAAUUUCUGGGAAGUUUCUCAGCAAACAUUAAAGUCCUUGGUUGACGUCAGACAUCUCACAGCAGAAUCCUCUCACCACCUGGCCAGACAGUGCUCCCGGUGCCCAUUUCCCCUUUUGGUGUCUGUGUUACUGAUGUCUUUAAUCAUAUAUUCAAAUAAUUUAUUUGGCCACUUGUUUUAUGCUGAGUCUUGUG
rnacentral:lncRNA from 1 species